rnacentral:rRNA from 1 species
UUUGGAGGGGCAAGUCUGGUGCCAGCAGCCGCGGUAAUUCCAGCUCCAAUAGCGUAUAUUAAAGUUGUUGCAGUUAAAAAGCUCGUAGUUGAACCUUGGGCCUGGCUGGCCGGUCCGCCUCACCGCGUGUACUGGUCCGGCCGGGCCUUUCCUUCUGGGGAACCUCAUGCCCUUCACUGGGCGUGUUGGGGAACCAGGACUUUUACUUUGAAAAAAUUAGAGUGUUCAAAGCAGGCCUUUGCUCGAAUACAUUAGCAUGGAAUAAUAGAAUAGGACGUGUGGUUCUAUUUUGUUGGUUUCUAGGACCGCCGUAAUGAUUAAUAGGGAUAGUCGGGGGCAUCAGUAUUCAAUCGUCAGAGGUGAAAUUCUUGGAUUGAUUGAAGACUAACUACUGCGAAAGCAUUUGCCAAGGAUGUUUUCAUUAAUCAGUGAACGAAAGUUAGGGGAUCGAAGACGAUCAGAUACCGUCGUAGUCUUAACCAUAAACUAUGCCGACUAGGGAU